GCUCGAACAGGAAGAGGUGCAUCAAAGCAUCUUUCUUCAUACCCGUUAGAUCUUUGACAAAUGGCAUUAAUCUAUCGAUAGUUGGGAUCAACCUGAAUCAAUUUGAACCGCCAGUGUACUCUAUAUAAAGGCUUCCUUUGGGUCCAAAAAGUUACUUUACUCUUUUACUGUGCAGAGACUCUACCUGUUUCUUCCUCCGAAAGCUUUUCUAGUGCUUCCAGUGCUGAAAAAGGAGUUUCCAAGUGUCACC
rnacentral:lncRNA from 1 species